UUUUUGAGUCCCAAUUGCCCAACUUUCAACAAAAAUAAGACUAACAGAACAUAACAGAACAGAACAGAGUCCCGUCACCAUACGCAAGCCACAAGUCCACAGAGGAGGCACGAAAAUGGUGUUCAACAGCCUGAUGGUGGAGUCGGUGGCGCACCUGUCGGCCGAGAUGUGGCAGUACUUGGCAUGCUUACCGGAGCGCUUGAGCAGCCACCAGCUGUUGGAUCUCAUCUUCUGCCUCCCUCUGCAGCAGUUGGGUCGCCUGGCUUUCUGCCUCUGGACCUUCCUCUGCGUCCCUCCGCCCGACUCCUACUACUCCUACUCUUACUCCGACUCCGAUGACUCAUCCUCCACCGUCGAUUACGAUGACUAUUACUACGAUCCCCACUCUGAUUGAUUCCCUUCUGCUUCUUCGAUUGUCUUCCCCUUCGCCGGCGCCCCCUGUACAAAUGAUGGGUUGACUGCGUGAUUUCUUUGCAUUAAUGAAUUGGGUUGUUCAAGAUUGCUCUUUUUUCUUCUGAUUAUUAGAAUUUAAUGGGUGAUCAGCAUGAGGCUCGAGAAGCUAGAUACAUAGUGUGACAAAAGCGCUUCGCUCUUCGAACAAAUGUUGAGAAUCAAGUGUUCUAAGAGUUGAUUGCCAUGAAAAAAAAACAUUGUUAGUGCAUGUGGCAUUGACUUGUUAUGUAUGUAUGUAUGGCAAUGUAAGUCUCGCAAGUUACUCGUUCACUAGUUAUACAAGGUUGGAAACUCCUAGGUCUGAUAUGCAGUCCAGUCUUGGAGGCUAUCAAGUGAGUGCACUCAAAUUUGUAGGCAUGAGGCAUUAGGGGUGUCGAGUCUAAAAUUUAGAUGUAUCCAAGAUCACUUUAGCAAUGCCCUGAAUCAGUAGGAUGAUGCUAAUUUGACGGUUGAUGUUUAGGUAACAUUGUAAUGCUUUAAAAGAAAAUUUUAUUGUUGAUACUGA